rnacentral:lncRNA from 1 species
AGAGAUCGUAAUAAGUUGUUUUGCAUAAAUAAGUUUUUUUGAGUAAGUUGUUUUUAAAAAAGAGAUCGUAAUAAGCGGUUUUGCAUAAAUAAGCUGUUUUGAAUAAGUUAUUUUUUGAAAAGAGGACAUAAUAAGUUGUUUUGCAUAAAUAAAUUGUUUUGAAUAAGAGGUUUUUGAAAUGAGGUCGUUAUAAAUAGCUUUGUAUAAAUAAGUUGUUUUGAAUAAGCGAUUUUUGAAAAUGAGGUCAUAAUAAGCUGUUUUGUAUAAAUAAGUUGUUUUGAAUAAGCGGUUUUUGAAAAUGAUGUCGUAUUAAGCUAUUUUGUAUAAAUAAGCUGUUUUGAAUAAGCUGUUUUUGAAAAAGAGAUCGUAUUAAGCUGUUUUGUAUAAAUAAGCUGUUUUUGAAAAAGAGGUCGUAAUAAGCUGUUUUGUAUAAAUAAGUUGUUUUUGAAUAAGCGGUUUUUGAAAAUGAGGUCGUAAUAAGCUAUUUUAUAUAAAUAAGCUGUUUUGAAUAAGCUGUUUUAGUAAAAGAGAUUGUAUUAAGCUGUUUUGCAUAAUAAGUUGUUUUGAAUAAGCUGUUUUUGAAAAUGAGGUCAUAUUAAGCUGUUUUGUAUAAAUAAGUUGUUUUGAAUAAGCGAUUUUUAAAAAUGAGGUCAUAAUAAGCUGUUUUGUAUAAAUAAGCUGUUUUGAAUAAGCUGUUUUUGAAAAUGAUGUCGUAAUAAGCUGUUUUGUAUAAAUAAGUUGUUUUGAAUAAGCGGUUUUUGAAAAUGAGGUCGUAAUAAGCUAUUUUGUAUAAAUAAGCUGUUUUGAAUAAGCUGUUUUUGAAAAAAAGAUCGUAUUAAGCUGUUUUGCAUAAAUAAGCUGUUUUGAAUAAGUUGUUUUGUAUAAAUAAGCUGUUUUGAACAAGUUGUUUUUUGAAAAGAGGUCGUAAUAAGCUGUUUUGUAUAGAUAAACUAUUUUGGAUAAGUUGUUUUUGAAAAAGAGAUUGUAUUAAACUGUUUUGAAUAAGCUGUUUUUCUGAAAAGAGGUCAUAAUAAGUUGUUUUGUAUAAAUAAGCUAUUUGGAAUAAGUUGUUUUUUAAAAAAAGAUCGUAAUAAUUUGUUUUUCAUAAGAUAAGCUAUUUUUUAAAAAGAGGUCGUAAUAAGUUGUUUUGUAUAAGUAAGUUGUUUUUAAAAAGUGAUCGUAAUAAGUUUUUUUUUAUUUUUUUAUUUUAUAAAUAAGUUGUUUUUUAAAAUAGAUCUUAAUAAUUUGUUUUUCAUGCGAUAAGUUGUUUUGAAUAAAUUAGAAGUUAAAUUACGAAGUAUAACAAUGUAUUGAUUUUAAGAGGAAAAAGGGUAAAAUAGUAAAAUUAUAACAUAAGCCCUCCAUCUCCUUUCCUUGUUGGCUUUUUAACUCCCAAACAAGGGGAAGGUUUUCCCUCCUUUCUCCCUUCCCUCCCUUUCCUUCCCUUCGCCUCCUUAGCCUUUCCUUUCCUUCCCCUCAAAACUCGCAAACAAAGCC